rnacentral:rRNA from 1 species
GCUGCAGAAAUGUAGAACUCUUUGGACACUCGUAAACAGGUGGUGCAUGGUUGUCGUCAGCUCGUGUCGUGAGAUGUUGGGUUAAGUCCCGCAACGAGCGCAACCCUCGUUCUAUGUUGCCAGCACGUAAUGGUGGGAACUCAUGGGAUACUGCCGGGGUCAACUCGGAGGAAGGUGGGGAUGACGUCAAAUCAUCAUGCCCCUUAUGUCUUGGGCUUCACGCAUGCUACAAUGGCCGGUACAAAGGGCUGCAAUACCGUAAGGUGGAGCGAAUCCCAAAAAGCCGGUCCCAGUUCGGAUUGAGGUCUGCAACUCGACCUCAUGAAGUCGGAGUCGCUAGUAAUCGCAGAUCAGCAACGCUGCGGUGAAUACGUUCCCGGGUCUUGUACACACCGCCCGUCAAGUCAUGAAAGUCGGUAACACCUGAAGCCGGUGGCCCAACCCUUGUGGAGGGAGCCGUCGAAGGUGGGAUCGGUAAUUAGGACUAAGUCGUAACAAGGUAACC